UUUGACAUGCAAGUGGUAGGAACCGAAAGGCGACCGGACCUUCGGGAGCUUGCACAGGUGCUGCAUGGCUGUCGUCAGCUCGUGUCGUGAGAUGUUCCGGUUAAGUCCGCUAACGAGCGCAACCCUCGCUGUGUGUUACAAGUGUCACACGGGUACUGCCGGUCUUAAGCCGGAGGAAGGUGGGGAUGACGUCAAGUCAGCAUGGCCUUUAUGUCCUGGGCUACACACACGCUACAAUGGCCAACACAAUAGGUUGCUAAGCCGCGAGGUGGAGCCAAUCCUCAAAGUUGGUCUCAGUUCAGAUUGCAGGCUGCAACCCGCCUGCAUGAAGAUGGAGUUGCUAGUAACCGCAGGUCAGCUAUACUGCGGUGAAUACGUUCCCGGGGCUU
rnacentral:rRNA from 1 species